GGAUUAUUGGGCGUAAGCGCGCGCAGGCGGUCCUUUAAGUCUGAUGUGAAAGCCCACGGCCCAUCCGUGGAGGGUCAUUGGAAACUGGGGGACUUGAGUACACAUGAGGAAAGCGGAAUUCCACGUGUAGCGGUGAAAUGCGUAGAGAUGUGGAGGAACACCAGUGGCGAAGGCGGCUUUCUGGUCUGUAACUGACGCUGAGGCGCGAAAGCGUGGGGAGCAAACAGGAUUAGAUACCCUGGUAGUCCACGCCGUAAACGAUGAGUGCUAAGUGUUAGAGGGUUUCCGCCCUUUAGUGCUGAAGCUAACGCA
rnacentral:rRNA from 2 species